rnacentral:rRNA from 1 species
GACCAGACUCCUACGGGAGGCAGCAGUGAGGAAUAUUGGUCAAUGGGCGGGAGCCUGAACCAGCCAUGCCGCGUGAAGGCGAGUGCCCUACGGGCGUUAAACUUCUUUUGUGCGGGAGCAAUAAGGGCCACGCGUGGCCCGAUGAGAGUACCGCACGAAUAAGCAUCGGCUAACUCCGUGCCAGCAGCCGCGGUAAUACGGAGGAUGCGAGCGUUAUCCGGAUUUAUUGGGUUUAAAGGGUGCGUAGGCGGAAGGUUAAGUCAGCGGUCAAAUGUCGGUGCUCAACACCGGCCUGCCGUUGAAACUGGUCUUCUUGAGUGAGCGAGAAGUAUGCGGAAUGCGUGGUGUAGCGGUGAAAUGCAUAGAUAUCACGCAGAACUCCGAUUGCGAAGGCAGCAUACCGGCGCUCAACUGACGCUGAGGCACGAAAGCGUGGGGAUCGAACAGGAUUAGAUACCCCGGUAU